rnacentral:lncRNA from 1 species
GAAAAAGGCUGCCUGGCAGCUGACUCCUCUGGGAAUCCCUGCUAAAAUGAAAUGUAUAUUUCAUUAGAUCUUCCCAGGGUACAAAAUUUUAAGUAAACAUACAUUUUAAAUGAGUAAGCAAUGUCUAAUGGGAAACUGUGUAUGGAGCUUUACUUUUAGAUAUAUAUACUCCUCUUUCAGAUUGGGGAAUUACACACAUAACCACGAAUAGAGAAUAUGCUAGUUAAUUCUUAAUAUCCCUCUAAACACUCCUUUGCAAGCUAAAUCAGUAAACACUAUAGCAAGGAUGUUCUCUGCAUAAGGCUCAAUUUCACUGAAGUCAAGUCGAAGUUCUGUCAUAGGAGAGUGUUUUAUUGACAUAUAAAAUCUGCAAUGGAUCUGGCUGGGUAUUCCCAGAGACUUUAUUUUAAUUGGAAUUCCCUGCAGUGGCAUGAAGAUCAAACGUUUCCUGAAGUGUGGUAGAAGGCAGGAAGAAUGACACUUGCUAAUUUGAAUUUCAGAAAGCACCUAAACUUCAUUCUGAUCUCCAGAGAGUAUCCAAAACAAUUCCUUGCCUGCUUUCAUAAAAAGUCUUUCUGAAAAUUUGAGAACUGCUAUCAAACCUUCACUUGGCCUUUCCCCUCCUGGAUUAAACCUUGCAAGCCCUAUUCUUUCUUGCAAAGUCUUAUGCUAGAAAUGCUCUUUUAAAUUCAUUCUUAUUUCAGGUUCUGGGACUUUCUCCAGCUGAUUAAUGUAUUUUAUUGACAUGUGAUAACCUGCAGAGGUGACAGGGAUCCAGGUAAAGAAUUACCAGCUCUGAGUAGAAA